GACGAACGCUGGCGGCGUGCCUAAUACAUGCAAGUAGGACGCAGUUGCGAACGGGUGAGUAACGCGUAGGUAACUACCUAUUAGAGGGGGAUAACUAUUGGAAACGAUAGCUAAUACCUCAUACUAGUAGAUGGACCUGCGUGGUAUUAGCUAGUAGGGAGGGUAAUGGCGUACAUAGGCAACGAUACAUAGCCGACCUGAGCGGGUGAUCGGCGAGACUGGGACUGUGGAGCGGCCCAUAAUCACACGGCAGGAAGCAGAAGGGAGACUUCGGCAAUGGGGGGAACCCGGACCGAGCAACGCCGCGUGAGUGAAGAAGGUUUUCGGAUCGUAAAGCUUUGGUGUUAAGGAAGCGGUAAUUAACCAGAAAGGGACGGCUAACUACGUGCCAGCCGCCGCGGUAAUUC
rnacentral:rRNA from 1 species